CUGUUAUGUUUCAGACGUUAAAAGGUGUUCAAAUGACAUGGAACUAUCGAAGAUGCUUAGAAUAAAAAAAAAAGAAGUGCUAAUGAAUAUGUACGACGUCAUAUUCAAAAUUACUUUAUAAAAAGCUUUUAAACAUACUUUCGCGAGCAGCAAUGAAUCGAUAAUGAAAUUUACAUUUCCCCUCUUCGUCAAACUCUUUUACCUCGGAACAAGUAUCGUUAUCAAGAAUCAAGAAAAAAAAAAUUAUCGCGUUGCAAGCACUCCAUCGGGAUCAUCGAUCAUGGAUAGUGGGAAAAUAUGGUUACGGAUACCCAAACAAAUCGCGUACAUACUGUUGCUAACGAUGAAACAGCCGCAAACGUUCUCAUACAUCAUACAAUGCAAAUGAACGAACAGAAAACGAGAAGAGAUUGGUAAACGGAUGAGAAGCGUCAAAGAUCAAGUAAUGGACGAGAAGCAAAUUUCAUUCUCCGAAUCAGCUAUCAGAUAUAUUCAUCGCCCGCAGCAAUGCGGUUGGAUACAAGAAUUCGAGGCGAUACAAAACGAAACCGUAAGAUCGUAGCAUACUCUAAUUCCUACUAUUUUUCUAAACACGGGAAGAUCGAUUGACUUGGUGGGCCAUUAUCGAAUUCUCAUUAGAAGACAGCUAGCUUGCUUCUUCGGCAAAUGUACUAAAUUUUAUGCGAAGACUUUUAAUUGAAAUGCAUCUUUAAAUGUAAGUUUAAAUAGAAUUAAAAGUUUGUUAUGUGCGACGAAAAUAUAGAUUUAAACAUGAUACGGGAACGAGCGAUACCUGGUUCUAUAUUUAUAUAGAAGAAAAAAAAUAUUCAUAAAGAAUAAAUAACAUUUUUCACUUGAAAAA